AUACAGAGGGUGCAAACGUUGUUCGGAAUCACUGGGCUUAAAGCGCGCGUAGGCGGCGACAUCAGUGUCUUGUGAAAGCCCACGGCUCAACCGGGGAACUGCAGGGCAUACUGUGUUGCUAGAGUACGAGAGGGGAGAGGAGAACUCCUGGUGGAGCGGUGGAAUGCGUAGAUAUCAGGAGGAAUGCCGAAGGUGAAGACACCUCUCUGGCUCGUAACUGACGCUAAGGCGCGAAAGCUAGGGUAGCGAACGGGAUUAGAUACCCGGGUAGUCC
rnacentral:rRNA from 1 species